ACUAAUGGACCACAUGACCCUGAGACAGUGCUUCCUGGAUGGUGCCCAUCUGCCCCUGCUGCCACUUCAGAGGGGAUAGAGCUGGAGAAAAACAUGAGACAGAACUCAAAAUCUCAGAAAAGACCCAACUCGUGGGUCAGAUAGAGACUGUGGGACCCCAAAGCAAGUCCAGUCAUCCUUCAAGUCUGGACCUGAACUCACGGCUUUCCUUUUAGACAGGCCUAUCAGUCCAUAGAGGGAUCUGACUACUACCAAGAAAAGCAAGCCAGGAAUGGAGUGCACCCUUGGGACCAGGGCCCCUGUGCUGAGAACCUCCUGGAUCCAGGGGAAGAUGGAUGCCAAAAUACACGGUGCACUCCAAGGGACUGCAGACCCACAGAUGCUGAAAGACCUUUCCCCAGAACUCACACAGGAAGUUGGUUUCUGCUAGAGCCAGCUGCUUAAGUUGACACGUCCAGCCUCCAAAACUGAGAGAAUAAACACCGAAACAGCAAUAAAAAAUAUGCCUCGAAUUC